CACGUAGGGUGCGAGCGUUGUCCGGAAUUAUUGGGCGUAAAGGGCUCGUAGGCGGUUUGUCGCGUCGGGAGUGAAAUCCACUGGCUUAACUGGUGGCUUGCUUUCGAUACGGGCAGACUGGAGGUAUGCAGGGGAGAACGGAAUUCCUGGUGUAGCGGUGAAAUGCGCAGAUAUCAGGAGGAACACCGGUGGCGAAGGCGGUUCUCUGGGCAUGUUCUGACGCUGAGGAGCGAAAGUGUGGGGAGCGAACAGG
rnacentral:rRNA from 1 species